AUUGAACGCUGGCGGCGUGCCUAACACAUGCAAGUCGAGCGGUAACAGGUGUAGCAAUACAUGCUGACGAGCGGCGAACGGGUGAGUAAUGCUUCGGAAUCUACCCAAUGGUGGGGAAUAACCAGCCGAAAGGUUGGCUAAUACCGCAUACGUCCCACGGGAGAAAGCAGGGGAUCGCAAGACCUUGCGCCAAUGGAUGAGCCGAAGUCGGAUUAGCUAGNGGUAGGGUAACGGCCUACCAAGGCGACGAUCCGUAGCUGGUCUGAGAGGACGACCAGCCACACUGGGACUGAGACACGGCCCAGACUCCUACGGGAGGCAGCAGUGGGGAAUAUUGGACAAUGGGGGAAACCCUGAUCCAGCGACGCCGCGUGUGUGAAGAAGGCCUGCGGGUUGUAAAGCACUUUUAGUGGGAUGAAAUGUUC
rnacentral:rRNA from 1 species